AAUCAACGCUGGCGGCGUGCCUCAGACAUGCAAGUCGAACGAUUAAAGCUCUCUUCGGAGAGUGUAUAGAGUGGCGCACGGGUGAGUAACACGUAAGUAAUCUACCCUCGAGUGGGGAAUAACAACCGGAAACGGUUGCUAAUACCGCAUAAUGCAGCGGCACCGCAAGGUGACAGUUGUUAAAGAUUUAUCGCUUGAGGAGGAGCUUGCGGCAGAUUAGCUAGUUGGUAGGGUAACGGCUUACCAAGGCUACGAUCUGUAACCGGUCUAAGAGGACGGUCGGUCACACUGACACUGAAUAACGGGUCAGACUCCUACGGGAGGCAGCAGUCGGGAAUUUUGGGCAAUGGGCGAAAGCCUGACCCAGCAACGCCGCGUGAAGGAUGAAGUAUUUCGGUAUGUAAACUUCGAAAGAAUAGGAAGAAUUAAUGACGGUACUAUUUAUAAAGGUCCGGCUAACUACGUGCCAGCAGCCGCGGU
rnacentral:rRNA from 1 species